rnacentral:rRNA from 1 species
UACAGAGGGUGCGAGCGUUAAUCGGAAUUCCUGGGCGUAAAGCGUGCGUAGACGGCUAUCUAAGUCGGGUGUGAAAGCCCCGGGCUCAACCUGGGAAUUGCAUUCGAGACUGAAUAGCUAGGGUACGGUAGAGGGAAGUGGAAUUUCCGGUGUAGCGGUGAAAUGCGUAGAUAUCGGAAGGAACAUCAGUGGCGAAAGCGACUUCCUGGACCAGUACCGACGUUCAGGCACGAAAGCGUGGGGAGCAAACAGG